rnacentral:misc_RNA from 1 species
UGCUUAAAAUAAUUAUCAUAAGCAUAGCACUAGAAUAAGCUGUUUAGUUGUUUUUCCAUUCUCUUGUUGCAAAGGCUAAAGAUUGAAAAAUGUAUUCAGAUUUUUCAGUUCAAAAGUUACGUUACCAUCAUUUCUCAUUUCUCAUAUCCUUGGUUGUUUGACUAAUUGGAUUAUAGAGUUAGGUUUGCAUAAUAAUAGUUUG